rnacentral:rRNA from 1 species
AGCUCCAAUAGCGUAUAUUAAAGUUGUUGCAGUUAAAAAGCUCGUAGUUGGAUUUCUGGAAUCUUUUCGUUUACCAUCUUUGCUGACCAAGUGUUAGUGUUGGUUGCGAUGGAUUCCUUCUUUCUCCACAAAUUUGACUCCCAAGCAUUAGUUUGCUUGAGUGUUAAAUGGGGAUCGUUUACUGUGAAAAAAUUAGAGUGUUCAAAGCAAGUAUUAAUUUCUUGAAUACAUUAGCAUGGGAUAAUAAGAUAGGACUUGGGUACUAUUUUGUUGGUUUGCAUACCCAGGUAAUGAUUAACAGGAACAUAUUGGGGAUAUCUGUAUUUUUUAGUCAGAGGUGAAAUUCUUGGAUUUAAGAAAGACAAACUACAGCGAAAGCAUUUAUCAAGGAUGUUUUCAU